AUUUGGUCGGCAACACCGUUUCCACUUUGCCGCUUUGUUUUGUUAUUAUUCGUUGAAAAUCUUGUAUCUGUUUGUAAACAUUCAAGUCGAUUAUGUCUUACAUAUGGUGAUAGUCGAUUGUUUGGAGUCGGCUUUCUGCUGCAGAAAACCACCGGUUUGUGAAUUUUCAUACAUGUUUUUAUAGCAGCGUUUUUGCAAAUAUAACAGAGACCACCUUACAUACAAUACAUAAACUACAUUUUUAUUUGUAGGACUUCACAGACGAGCAAUUUCUGCGGAAGGUGUGUGUUGAAGAGCUAGGCGGCACAACUAUUGUGGUUUUUAGAAACGAAAGCACGUAUGCGCGUAUUUCUACCAUUGUCUCAUGUGGUGCUACGAACAAUUUCAUAGGAGACAUGGAGCGUGUUGUGUAUGAUGGUGCAAAUACCUGUUUAACAUGUGACGGUUAUUAUGUGCCUAGUACUGCUACCUCUGAAAUGAAUUUGACUUCCGAACUGGCUGUCCACGUCGAUACCUUACCCCGUCUAGAACAAUAUGCUGUACGUAGAUAUAUGCGCAACACCUACACGAGCAAGUCCUCGCGCUUUAAGUCUACAAUUACAGAUAAGUUGUAAUGAUAUAUUUGUGAGUUAUUUUUAAGUUUUUGGUUUACAGGUUUUUGAUUUCUGCCUGAAGUAAGUGCAGCGUUCCAACACCUAUACGAGCAAGUGCACCCACAUUCCUCAUAUUUCCACUCUGAUUCAUUACUGAGACACGUGGUAUUGAUAUACGUAAAUUUAAAAACCAUCACAAUUACUAAAAGUGGAUUAUAUUACCAAUAUCUUAAAUUUUUCGAUGUAUUAGUUUUAGUUUAUAUUAAUACAUUUUCCUGUUAAUAUUAGGGACGCAAAGUAUAUUAAGGUAGACAAAUUUUAAACUAUAAACUAGUAAAUUUGUAAUUUUUAUUGCAAACUAUUUUAACUCUUCUAAUUUCAAUUUUUUUCUUAUAUUUAGAAAUGAUCGACUGAACUUCUGC